rnacentral:rRNA from 1 species
CUUUCCUUCUGUAUUUCUCCCCCACCACUUACUCUCAAUCUCUCACGGGCAUGGCUGCUCCAAGCUACUGCGUUGGUUCCGCCAAGGCCUCCUCCUCUCCCUUAGCUCCCCGCUGCUGACCUGCUUCAUCAAUUCGAGGGGCUGAUCUGCUACGGUGGCGCUGCCAAUCCACUCCUGCAAGCUUUUUUUUGUCUUCUGGAUGCAACAGGGGGUGGCUGCGUGCGCUGCCGCUGGUUGUUGCCGGAGGUCAGGUGCCGCGCGGUAGGAGCAGGAGAUGUGGUGUUGCGCGUGGCGGGGAUGACGCCGCACGCAUGCCGGCGGAAUUUGCAAGCGGCGGGGAGCGCUGAUAUCCAUUCUCCCUAGGGAUGGAUUCGGCUAUCAAAUUGCCCACACGGUUGUAGCUUUUUUAAUCGCCGGUAGUAGCAAUCUGCUAAACGGGUUGCAUCCUUCUAAAUCGCGUUCCAGCUUUUUUUUAUUUAAAUCGCUGGUGUUGCAUCUUUUCUUGAAAUCAUCGGUUCCAGCUUCCCAAAUCACCGGUUGUAGCUUUUUGAUCAGUCGAUUGUAGCUUUUUGGAUCCUCGGUACCAGUUUCAAAUCAUCGGUUGUAGCUUUUUCAUCAGCCGAUUGCAACUUUUAUAAUCACCGGUUCCAGCUUUUUGAAUCGCCGGUUCCAGCUUCUGAUUAGUUUAUUUGCAUUUUUCUAUCGCCGGUAGUAGCUUUUUGACUUGCCGGUUGCAACUUUCGUUUUAGCUGGUUGCAUCGUUUUAAAUCGCCGACUCCAGCUUUGAAAAAACUCACCGUUUUGUAACUCGCCGGCCACCGGUUUUGCUACAGCCGUGACCGCCGGUGCUGUGGCCGUGGGGAAGCCAGCGUGUUCAGUUUUUCGACGCGGGGAUGGGGGUGGGGACGGGGGUGUUACAAGGAGUGUCGAGGGGAGCGACAAGCUUGUCAAGGAGCACACGCGCAACUACAGGAAGGAAGUUUGGCUGGGAGGGGGACGUUUUUCAUGAGAGCGUUGACCAGAGGAAAAGACGAAGCGAGGGGGAGAUGCGAGAAUCGGACGACUGCGACAGGCUAGAUCGAACGGCUGGGGCCUGACCGGCCCAAAGUUGGGCCGGUGCGCCGGCGCCUAUCAGCGCCCU